UACAGAGGUCCCAAGCGUUGUUCGGAUUCACUGGGCGUAAAGGGUGCGUAGGUGGUUGGGUAAGUCUGAUGUGAAAUCUCCGAGCUUAACUCGGAAAUGGCAUUGGAUACUAUUCGGCUAGAGGGUUUGAGGGGGGACUGGAAUACUUGGUGUAGCAGUGAAAUGCGUAGAUAUCAAGAGGAACACCAGUGGCGAAGGCGAGUCCCUGGACAAUACCUGACACUGAGGCACGAAAGCUAGGGGAGCAAACAGG
rnacentral:rRNA from 1 species